GCGGGAGUAGCUUAGUGGUAAAGCGCUAGCCUUCCAAGCUAGAUACGCGGGUUCGACCCCCGUCUCCCGCUCCA
rnacentral:tRNA from 1 species